rnacentral:rRNA from 1 species
GGAGCUUGCUCCACCGGAAAAAGAAGAGUGGCGAACGGGUGAGUAACACGUGGGUAACCUGCCCAUCAGAAGGGGAUAACACUUGGAAACAGGUGCUAAUACCGUAUAACAAUCGAAACCGCAUGGUUUUGAUUUGAAAGGCGCUUUCGGGUGUCGCUGAUGGAUGGACCCGCGGUGCAUUAGCUAGUUGGUGAGGUAACGGCUCACCAAGGCCACGAUGCAUAGCCGACCUGAGAGGGUGAUCGGCCACAUUGGGACUGAGACACGGCCCAAACUCCUACGGGAGGCAGCAGUAGGGAAUCUUCGGCAAUGGACGAAAGUCUGACCGAGCAACGCCGCGUGAGUGAAGAAGGUUUUCGGAUCGUAAAACUCUGUUGUUAGAGAAGAACAAGGAUGAGAGUAACUGUUCAUCCCUUGACGGUAUCUAACCAGAAAGCCACGGCUAACUACGUGCCAGCAGCCGCGGUAAUACGUAGGUGGCAAGCGUUGUCCGGAUUUAUUGGGCGUAAAGCGAGCGCAGGCGGUUUCUUAAGUCUGAUGUGAAAGCCCCCGGCUCAACCGGGGAGGGUCAUUGGAAACUGGGAGACUUGAGUGCAGAAGAGGAGAGUGGAAUUCCAUGUGUAGCGGUGAAAUGCGUAGAUAUAUGGAGGAACACCAGUGGCGAAGGCGGCUCUCUGGUCUGUAACUGACGCUGAGGCUCGAAAGCGUGGGGAGCAAACAGGAUUAGAUACCCUGGUAGUCCACGCCGUAAACGAUGAGUGCUAAGUGUUGGAGGGUUUCCGCCCUUCAGUGCUGCAGCUAACGCAUUAAGCACUCCGCCUGGGGAGUACGACCGCAAGGUUGAAACUCAAAGGAAUUGACGGGGGCCCGCACAAGCGGUGGAGCAUGUGGUUUAAUUCGAAGCAACGCGAAGAACCUUACCAGGUCUUGACAUCCUUUGACCACUCUAGAGAUAGAGCUUCCCCUUCGGGGGCAAAGUGACAGGUGGUGCAUGGUUGUCGUCAGCUCGUGUCGUGAGAUGUUGGGUUAAGUCCCGCAACGAGCGCAACCCUUAUUGUUAGUUGCCAUCAUUCAGUUGGGCACUCUAGCAAGACUGCCGGUGACAAACCGGAGGAAGGUGGGGAUGACGUCAAAUCAUCAUGCCCCUUAUGACCUGGGCUACACACGUGCUACAAUGGGAAGUACAACGAGUCGCGAAGUCGCGAGGCUAAGCUAAUCUCUUAAAGCUUCUCUCAGUUCGGAUUGUAGGCUGCAACUCGCCUACAUGAAGCCGGAAUCGCUAGUAAUCGCGGAUCAGCACGCCGCGGUGAAUACGUUCCCGGGCCUUGUACACACCGCCCGUCACACCACGAGAGUUUGUAACACCCGAAGUCGGUGAGGUAACCUUGGAGCCAGC